rnacentral:rRNA from 1 species
UACAGAGGUCCCAAGCGUUGUUCGGAUUCACUGGGCGUAAAGGGUGCGUAGGCGGUCGGGUAAGUCCGACGUGAAAGCCCGCAGCUUAACUGCGGAACGGCGUCGGAUACUAUUCGGCUGGAGAGUUGGAGGGGGGACUGGAAUUCUCGGUGUAGCAGUGAAAUGCGUAGAUAUCGAGAGGAGCACCAGUGGCGAAGGCGAGUCCCUGGACAACUUCUGACGCUGAGGCACGAAAGCCAGGGGAGCAAACGGG